UGCCAGCCGCCGCGGUAAUACUGAAGGUGCAAGCGUUAAUCGGAAUCACUGGGCGUAAAGCGCUCGUAGGUGGCGCAGCAAGUCAGACGUGAAAGCCCUCGGCUCAACCGAGGAAUUGCGUUUGAAACUGCUGUGCUUGAGUCUCGGAGAGGUUGGCGGAAUUCCAGGUGUAGGAGUGAAAUCCGUAGAUAUCUGGAGGAACACCGGUGGCGAGGGCGGCCAACUGGACGAGUACAGACGCUGAGGUACGAAAGCGUGGGGAGCAAACAGGAUUAGAUA
rnacentral:rRNA from 1 species